GUUAACGCUGGCGGCGUGCCUAACACAUGCAAGUCGAGCGAAGAGUACCAGAGUACCGGGCUCUUAGCGGCAGACGGGUGAGUAACACGUAAACAAUCUGCCCUCGAAUGGGAGACAACCAAGCGAAAGUUUGGCUAAUACCCCAUACAAUCCUCUUGAGGCAUCUCAAGGGGAUGAAAGGCCCGCAAGGGUCGUUCGAGGAGGAGUUUGCGGCCUAUCAGCUAGUUGGCGGUGUAACAGACCACCAAGGCUAUGACGGGUAUCCGAUCUAAAAGGAUGAACGGACACAAGGGCACUGAGACACGGGCCCUACUCCUACGGGAGGCAGCAGUGGGGAAUUUUGGACAAUGGACGAAAGUCUGAUCCAGCGACGCCGCGUGAAGGACGAAGGUUUUCGGAUCGUAAACUUCUUUUGCAGGGGACGAAUACGCGCAAGCGUUUGACGGUACUCUGCGAAUAAGCCACGGCUAACUACGU
rnacentral:rRNA from 1 species